rnacentral:misc_RNA from 1 species
GAAAUGCGAUACGUAAUGUGAAUUGCAGAAUUCAGUGAAUCAUCGAAUCUUUGAACGCAUAUUGCGCUCUUUGGUAUUCCGAAGAGCAUGCUUGUUUGAGUAUCAGUAAACACCUCAAAACUUUUGAUUUUUUUUUUAAAAAAAAAAAGGUUUUGGACUUGAGCAAUCCCAACACCAAUCUUUUUUAGAUCGGUGGCGGGUUGCUUGAAAUGCAGGUGCAGCUGGACAUUCUCCUGAGCUAAAAGCAUAUUCAUUUAGUCCCGUCAAACGGAUUAUUACUUUUGCUGCAGCUAACAUAAAGGGAGUUUGACCGUAUUGGCUGACUGAUGCAGGAUUUCACAGGGGUCGGCAACGACGCUUGUUAAACUCGAUCUCAAAUCAAGUAAGACUACCCGCUGAA